ACAAAGCUGACACCCAGGUUCUGCUCCCCAGGGGCACAGUCUGAGUCUGCCCAGAGCAAGAUGCUGAGCGGCAUUGGGGGCUUUGUGCUGGGGCUCAUCUUCCUCGGGCUGGGCCUUUUCGUCCGUCACAGAAAUCAGAAAGGACCUCGAGGGCCUCCUCCAGCAGGGCUUCUACAGUGAUUCCUGGUGUUCUGGCUGAGUUGACUGUCACACUAUAAAGCUUGUCCCUGUCCUCAGUUCCUGUCUGUGCCAGCCUGCCUGUCCCUCUCUGAUUCAGAGUCUAGCAUGGUUCCAGUAUACCCACCAGUUCAGCCUUUGUGAUCCCUGACUCCCCAAGGCUCUGUCUUUGCCUCUGCUCCUGGACUGAUUCUAGAGACUCUAUCUGUAUACUGCAGCACCAUCUACCCAGACCCCAGGCCUUCUGUUUCCACUGUCCCAUGGGGCUGCUGAAGAGAUGUUGAAAACAUUCACCUUUUUCAUAAUUAAACAUGU